CUAAAGGUGAUGAAGAGGAAUAGUAGAUGAAAAGAUGCUGUAAGAGAGGGAAGCUCAGCGGCUGAAAGGCUUUCCAGGCUUAUUUUUAUUGAACCCGACCUCCAAGCCGGGGAUGAACUCCUGUCGUAUGCCUGCGUUAAAGGCUUAAGAGGAAUGUACAUGCUGAUGCUGUGCGUUCAAAUAGGGUGGUACCGCGAGUAUACCUUCGUCCCUUAC
rnacentral:ncRNA from 1 species